GCCUCCUACGGGGCGCAGCAGUGAGGAAUAUUGGUCAAUGGUCGGGAGACUGAACCAGCCAAGCCGCGUGAGGGAGGAAGGUACAGAGUAUCGUAAACCUCUUUUGUCAGGGGACAAAGGCGGGGACGUGUCCCCGGAUGAGUGUACCUGAAGAAAAAGCAUCGGCUAACUCCGUGCCAGCAGCCGCGGUAAUACGGAGGAUGCGAGCGUUAUCCGGCUUUAUUGGGUUUAAAGGGCGCGCAGGCGGUCUGUUAAGUCAGCGGUCAAAUCCCGGGGCUCAACCCCGGCCCGCCGUUGCAACUGGC
rnacentral:rRNA from 1 species